rnacentral:rRNA from 1 species
GACGAACGCUGGCGGCGUGCUUAACACAUGCAAGUCGAGCGGUAAGGCCCUUUCGGGGGUACACGAGCGGCGAACGGGUGAGUAACACGUGGGUGACCUGCCCUCAGCUCUGGGAUAAGCCUGGGAAACCGGGUCUAAUACCGGAUAUGACUCCAUGACGCAUGUUGUGGGGUGGAAAGCCUUGUGCGGCUGAGGAUGGGCCCGCGGCCUAUCAGCUUGUUGGUGGGGUGAGGCCUACCAAGGCGACGACGGGUAGCCGGCCUGAGAGGGCGACCGGCCACACUGGGACUGAGACACGGCCCAGACUCCUACGGGAGGCAGCAGUGGGGAAUCUUGCGCAAUGGGCGAAAGCCUGACGCAGCGACGCCGCGUGAGGGAUGACGGCCUGGUU